ensembl:lncRNA
CUAACCUGAAGUUGGAGCUACACACCAUGAUGAUCAGAUUUGGGGUUGUUGUGGUAAUAUUCAGUACAAUAUGUGUGUCAAAAUGCAACAAUGUUCAGCGGCAUAUUCAAGUUCCGGGGGUUCAAAUUGGUGGUAUGCAGGCACCAUAGUGGUAUGCAGGCACCAUACCGUUAUGCAGGCACCAUACCGUCAUGCAGGGAUUCAGUGGUGACCGGCUACAAUACACUGGAGUGACCUUUACCACCAAGACAACUGGAACCAGGAGAAAUAAAUGAAAGAAUUGGGGAGUAUCCUGUUGUUCCACUAUUGGAAGUUGCAACAUCACAGAAACAAGCAAAUCUUUUUUUACAGACAUGGAUCACAGUUUGUUUUCUAUAGUUUAAAGGGGUGUAAUUCCCAGAGUUGUGCUAUUUUGUUUCUUUGAUUAUUUCAGAAAUUAAGUGUAAAUGCAAGUAUGUUUAAUUAGUAAUCCAUUUCAAAGAGAAGAUCUUUGAUGACAGUUGUGUAAAUCAACCUUUGUACCAUUAUUAAAAGCUCCAUUCUAAAUAAUGUGAUGAAUCAG